rnacentral:rRNA from 1 species
GACGAACGCUGGCGGCGUGCUUAACACAUGCAAGUCGAACGGUGAAGGGGUCUGCUUUUGUGGGCCCUGGAUGAGUGGCGAACGGGUGAGUAACACGUGAGUAACCUGCCCCCUUCUUCUGGAUAACCGCAUGAAAGUGUGGCUAAUACGGGAUAUUCUGGGUCUGUCGCAUGAUGGGUCUGGGAAAGAUUGCGCCUUUGGGUGUUUUUGGUGGGGGAUGGGCUCGCGGCCUAUCAGCUUGUUGGUGGGGUGAUGGCCUACCAAGGCGGUGACGGGUAGCCGGCCUAAGAGGGUGGACGGUCACACUGGGACUGAGACACGGCCCAGACUCCUACGGGAGGCAGCAGUGGGGAAUAUUACACAAUGGGCGCAAGCCUGAUGCAGCGACGCCGCGUGAGGGAUGGAGGCCUUCGGGUUGUAAACCUCUUUCGCCAGUGAAGCAGGCCUGCUCCUUGUGGGUGGGUUGACGGUAGCUGGAUAAGAAGCGCCGGCUAACUACGU